AAUAGAUACCCGGUAGUCCACGCCGUAAACGAUGAGUGCUAAGUGUUGGGGGGUUUCCGCCCCUCAGUGCUGCAGCUAACGCAUUAAGCACUCCGCCUGGGGAGUACGGUCGCAAGACUGAAACUCAAAGGAAUUGACGGGGGCCCGCACAAGCGGUGGAGCAUGUGGUUUAAUUCGAAGCAACGCGAAGAACCUUACCAGGUCUUGACAUCCCGGUGACCACUAUGGAGACAUAGUUUCCCCUUCGGGGGCAACGGUGACAGGUGGUGCAUGGUUGUCGUCAGCUCGUGUCGUGAGAUGUUGGGUUAAGUCCCGCAACGAGCGCAACCCUUAUUCUUAGUUGCCAUCAUUCAGUUGGGCACUCUAAGGAGACUGCCGGUGAUAAACCGGAGGAAGGUGGGGAUGACGUCAAAUCAUCAUGCCCCUUAUGACCUGGGCUACACACGUGCUACAAUGGACGGUACAAACGGUUGCCAACCCGCGAGGGGGAGCUAAUCCGAUAAAACCGUUCUCAGUUCGGAUUGUAGGCUGCAACUCGCCUACAUGAACG
rnacentral:rRNA from 1 species